GAUGAACGCUGGCGGCGUGCCUAAUACAUGCAAGUCGAGCGAACAGACCAGGCGCUUGCUCCUCUGACGUUAGCGGCGGACGGGUGUGUCACACGUGGAUAACCUACCUAUAUUUCUGGUAUAUCUUCGGGAAUCCGGGGCUUAUCCCGGAUAAUAUAUUGAUCCGUAUUGUUCAUUAGUGAAAGUCGGUUUUUCUGUCUCUUCUAGCUGGUUCCGCGCGGCUUUAGCUAGUUGUUAAGGUAACGGCUUACCAAGGCAACGAUGCGUAGCCGACCUGAGAGGGGGAUCGGCCACACGGGAACGGAGACAGGGACCAGACGCCUACGGGAGGCAGCAGUAGGGAAUCGGCGGCAAUGGGCGAAAGCAUGACGGAGCAACGGCGCGUGAGAGAUGAAGGUCGUCGGAUCGUAAAACUCUGUUAUGAGGGAAGAACAAAUGUGUAAGUAACUAUGCACGGAGUGACGGUACCGAAUCAGAAAGCAACGGCUAACUACGUG
rnacentral:rRNA from 1 species